rnacentral:lncRNA from 1 species
ACACAAGGUCACACAAUUCAACUUUGCCUUUCAUUUCUACCACAAUGAAUACAUUCACCUGCAAGCUUGCAUCACAAGGACUUUCAAGGCUUGUAUUUAGGUUGGGCUAAGAAAGAAUUUUGGUUUUUCUAGAUACAAAACACCUUUAGCUAAGAGAGCAUUCAAAUAAGCACAAGUCAACAUAAUCCUCUUCUUAACUUCAAGCAAUUACAACCAAUUCUCAAUUCUCUUUCCAACUUUUCAUCUAUUGAUUCUUUUUCUUGAUCUUGUUCCUUUUUCUUCUUUUUCUUCGCAUUUUUCUUUUUGCUUUUCUUGUCAUUUUCUUUUUGUAACCUCAACCACCCCAAACUUAAACCAUUUUCCUAUACCAAAAUGAACGCUCUACUUAACUCAAGGUAAGGAGGUCAAAAUUUUCAAUCUUGGUCUAAAGGUUCAAGAAUGGGAUCAAUGUUUCUUCCAGAUUCAUAAGGUUACAACAGCUUUUGGGUUCAAAACAUAGACAAGAAAAA